rnacentral:tRNA from 1 species
UGGCUCAGUGGUUAAGAGCACUGGCUGUUCUUCCAGAGGACCUGGGUUUGAUUCCCAG